rnacentral:miRNA from 1 species
UUGCUUCCUCCUCUCCC